CCGGAUUCGCCGACCAUAAAGGAGUUUAGCGCGUAAAGUCGAGGGCAGACAGCGAAACGGGUGGAUCGAGCGAGGUAACGAAAGAUUGAAAAGAGGGGAAAACGAAGAGACGCGAAGAGGAGAUUGGAAAUCCACGGACGCGUGUACGGCCUGCGGCUGGUCUCUCGGAUGCACCGGUUUGCAGUUCCGCCACUGAUUGGCACCGCGGACGGGGAAUGGCGGUCGCUUUUGUGCGCGUGCACACGUACGACGUGCGGACGCGUGCGCGCGCAAAACCUACACACGCGCCACCUGGUUUGGCAACACGGCCGGUGCAAAGCCCGUAACAGCCUGUUGGCCAACAUCGGGACAGUGCGCGGGCGCAUGCGCGUGCACGCCUUCGCCUUCGUGACACUUUAAAUAAACCAUGGUGGGGUGUAAAAGGGGGACAGGAACAAAAAUGAUAAACCGCUACAAAAAUCCCGAUAUAGACGGCGAGCACGCGCACGAGCGCGAGCUCACCCAGAGAGCGUGCCGAUUACACACUGCUGCGACCGUAGAGUCAACCUUCUGCCGGCAGGAAUCGAAGGAUGGGAUGGUAAACGGCCUGAUCAUCGUCCAACGGGAUUUCGAUGGACCAUGUAACGUUCGUGUUGCGGCGAAUGUGGGAACUUGGUCGAUGAGUGCGUUCGAUAGUACAUUGUGCGAAGAAAGUAACCCUGGAUGGGCAUCCGAGGCAUUUAGCAGUAUCCUCUUUUCCAAAUUCCUAUGUAAACGCAUCCAAACCUAUUCCUUUGGAUGUAGAUCGUAUGUAGCUAAAAGUAUGAGGGUAUCUUUGCUAAGACGGUAGAUAGCAAAUAGGUGACCAAAGAAGGGAAAAAGGAUUCACAUAAUGAUUAUAAGAGACUUCGAGUGUAUAUGACAAACAAAGAAGCACUGGACAAGACCUUCAGCACUAAAUCUACCGAGACCGAUGUAAUAUUGCACAUAGCGAGUUCAAGGUAUUAUCUUGACGCCAUCCUCGUUUUCCUCCACUAAAUAAGCCACUAAAGUGCACACCUGACCAACAAUCUACUAUAGCUUGGAAAUUAAAAUGGGAAUGGCCAACUCAAUUGAUCGAUAUAAUGAACUUUAAUCCUAUAAGACCAGAGGAACUGUUCUCAUUGUGUUUCGAAUUGGACACGUUAUGAACUAGAGGGUUAAUACAAACUCUUUGCGAGGCCACGCUCAUUUUAGCACAAAGAACUCGGAUACGAAGGGGAAGAAAUGAAAAUUAGUAAGCUGUUCUGGAUAACGCUCGCUGGAUCAUGCGUUCUUACCUCCUCUAUUGAUUUACAUGGGCUUAUCACCUUAUCUCUCGCGUGAAAUAGAAAGCGAGUUUGCUGAUCGAUAUCAACGGAUUCUUUGAUAUCUAUCCGUUGUUAGCCAGAACAGCUUAUCAUCUCGUGACUGGUAUUCUGAACGUGGAAGGCAGAGACAGGGAAAGGGGAGAAGAACAUAAUCCCAAUAGGCAUACUCUUUGACUGUCUUUCACAAUUUCAUUGUCACACCUGAGAAGCUACAUCAGACCCAAACAUCGUCAUAAUAAUCGUCACUGAAAAAUAGUUUAACUGACUUCAAAAAGUAGAUCUAUAAGGAAUUGCUUAAACAUCAUAGUAAACAGCGAAAGGGUGACUUACGAACAGUCGAAGCUUCUAAUUGGCGGAUACACGCCACCACCCGGUUACAUUGCUUGAUCUCGACGCUUCGUUUGAGCUGCCCUACAUAUGAAAUUCCUUGCACAGUCUCUAUCCUUUUACCAAACGGAACAAAACGGGCGAGAACAGCCGCAGAACAAAAGCGAGCGGUCGCGAUUUCCUUCGCUAGAUGGAAAGGAUAGAGGGAGGCGGACGAGUAACCGUUCCUCCGAAUGUGGAGCAAUUAAACGCAUAAACGGGACCAGAUCGUUUCGAAUUAAUUACCGAAGUCUGCCACUGAGAUGUGAUCAUCUCGAUCAUCGACGUUUGCUCGAUAUACAGCGAACGCGACCUUUAUAAGAGAAUGGAUUUGAGGUGGGCAGCCUUUUGGGGUUGAAAGGAUCACUGUCACUUCAGGAAUUCCCCACGAAGUCUGGAGACAUUUUGUGUAAUUAAUAGACUGUAGAUGUUUAUGUAUUUAUGGCAAGUUGAAGUUUGGGAAAAUCUACGAAGAUGUGCACAGUCUAGGAAUUAUUAUUACUAUUAUAGAAUAUAUACGUUAAGGAAGAAUAUGUUACAUAUAAAUCACACUAAAGAGGACCCAAAUGUAAGAUCGAAACGUGUAUGUCCAUUAAAUUAAACUGGGAAUAACUAACUUUGAUGAAACUCGAGGAAGGCCAUAGGUCAGUUUACUAAUUCCUCGCGAGCCUUCGCACUUCUUGUGUGAAUCUACACAUUAUCGAAAUCAAUGUCUUUGUAUGAACUCAAAUGAUUUUUAAUUUUACCGUUUUCCUUCUGCUGACGACGAACCGGGAAAAUAAUUCUGAUAAAUACCUGUGCCGAACAUCCAGCGAAGUUUUCGUGGCUCAUCUGAAAUUAAAAGAGAAAAGUCGGUUAGUGACAAGGAGCAACAAUUUUGGCCGCAGUUUGAUUAGGUGUGGGGAACCUUUUGGCAUUGGGAGACAGCACGUAGCUUCAAGGAUUCCUCGCGAAACUAUGUACUACGCGUGCAGAGCUCAUCCCCCAAGAGAUCUAUGGACUACAGUUUCAGACACUCUGGUAUAAUUUAUAAACGAAGAUUCAGGGGUUAAGCAAUCUAAUAUGAACACCUGCAAUUGGGGCUGUCUGCUUUCAACUGUUAAUCAUAGAGAUGCUUCGCGUUGAUGAGGAUGACCAUAUCUGCGCAUUCGAGUUGGUCUCAUCAUCAUCCUGAAUAGUCGAAUCACUGCUAGCGAAUAGUUGGACAUUCUGGGCGAUCAAAUUUAUUACUAUGGUCGUUGUUAAGACGAUGAUAUAGCUAGAUUCAAGCCUAAAAUUUAAUUUUGUGCCAAUUGGAAACUACAUAAUCCAUCAUUCCUUGCAAUACUUAGUUUUCUUUAGUACCUGACCUUUAGAAUUAAUUUUGUUUAGCUCCAUAGCGAAGAGAUCUGUCACCCAUGUAUGUGUAACGUAGCAUUUGACCUACUGAACACAUUUGAAACUAUUAAACCGAAGUAUGAAUCUACUCCAAGAAGAAAAGAGUUCCUCACCCUAUAUCUAACCCGAAUUGAUCGAUGCAUCGCAAGGUUUCGAUCGAAGAUUGUUCAACCCAGCUCGAUCCUCUGUUUUGCAAGGACCGAUCCACGAUUCGUCCGAAUCGCGAUCGCCAAACGAGUUGGUAAUAUAUUAGGGGCAGAUGAACCGAAGAGAACCGGUGGCUAUUUUCGCGCGAAACGUUUAAUUUAGCGUCUAAGCACGCCGACGAUAUAUCGUCCGGCGCGCUAACAAGUCUAACCCUUUCAGUGUCGCAAUUACGUGUCGAGAUUAAUAGCGACGUUUCUAUUUAGCCAGUGGGGAAAGACGAACGAUGAAUUAUUGUCAACUACCCUCCCCCACCGCUUGCUUGAAUCGGAACGCAGCGAACGCUGGACGAAAUUGGCGAAAUCCAACACGAAGAGUCGCCCUUUCGCUGCUGCUGGAGUACUAAUUGAUAGGCCAGCUGGAAUGCAGCGGGUAAAAGAAAAGCUGCAGACUCGAGGAGGAGAACGCUCUCAGAAGUUUGGAAACUACUGGAUUAUAGGGCACGUAACGAGAUGCAUAAUACGAACAAAUUGAUGAUAUCCGAUUAACGUAUGCCCACGCGUUUCCGGCCCAAUUGUACGACACGAAUACCGUGGGUACAAGUUUAUCAGAAAUGCACCUGUUCCUCAGAUGACUGAUCACCAAAAUCAUAUUCUCGUUUCUUCGGUGACGUAAAUCGGUGUAUCCCAUUUCUGUAUUGACAUUUCCUCUGAGAUAUGUGAGAUUUAUAACGAGUGAUGUUUCGUGGCAGUAAAAUACAACGCAUUGCUUUCCUACAAGGUGUAUCUAGUUCACGUCUAAUCACGGUGCAUAAAUGCAGCUCGAAAGGACAGCGUCUCAAGUUUCACUGCUUGAGGUGAAACGGCGAAUCGUACGUGUACAGCCUACAUGUAGGUGGACUUUCAUAGAUUUGAUACGAUUGCGUGAUGCGUGUGUGUCGGAGUACUUUCUAGAAGCGAUCUAUCAUCUCGCUCGAUUAUGGCAUACUCGCCUUUUAUCCACGAUAGUUUAGGUUUAGAACGACGAUGCCGUCAGCAGACCGUUGAACCUCUUUUUCUCACAUUCUGGAAUUUUCGAUUAUUAUUUGUUCGAGGCGACAAUUCUUCAACUAUGUGGUGAUUAAUAUGCAAGGAAAGUGAGAUCAACGCAAUUUGAUUCGAUAAAUGAGUUUUCCAUAGUGUUCGUCUCAAUUCAAAUCUCCAAGUGUCCAAAUCUUGCUAAGGAUUGUCAUUAGGUCUCAAGGAUGGAAAAAUUUGCUCUGAGAUUAGUCACAAGCUGAGUUGCAACGUUAUUAGUAUACCAAUACCAUAUUGUCACCCAACACUCGUCGAACAACAGACUGUACAAGCAGCCAAGCAGGUUAUAGCCCUUCUAGGAGAAAGUCCCUAACUCCAACACUAACCAAGAUCGCGUCUCCUUUCAUCAGUUGUUUUUGUCUCUACCAGAGGUGGUGACUUCCUCCUAGAAAGGCAAGCAUCUUGGUGGGCUGGACAACAACUCCAAACAUUCCACAAUUAUUAUUUAAACUGUCGUAUCAAUGAUAGUUGUCCAAAUUACUCCCAUCUCCAACUAUGUUAAAGAUGUUCUCCAUAAGGUUACUUCUCACUCCUAGACUUUAAUACACAACCAUCAGAGGUCUAACCUGGUAUCAUGAACAACAGUUGUCGAAGCCUUUAAGAAAAACAAACCGUUCCAUCCAUGGUUACCAAAAGAAAGCUGACGUCCAUUAGAGACCAAACACAAAUCCAAACGCCAGCCAUCGCACAGACCGCGUUUCGCGGUGCAUAUUGCAGUGAAUGUUGAUACAAGGCAGAGGCGAUGCGCGACAAUUUACGUCACCAGGCUGAACUAGUGGAUGAUUGAAACGGGUCGUCGUUUCAACAACAGCUGCGUUCGCGUGGGCGUACGAUCACUUCGCUGGCGCAAGCAACCCGCGAGAGGGCGAUCCUGGAGGAAAAAGAGUUGUCCUAUUAGCGGUCAGGGUAUCGUUGGCAUUAACCUGUAGUAACGCAUUAACGACGCGUCAAGUCAACGCGUGACAACGCGACCUCCCUCUGCCGCAUCCCAGCUGAGGUCCAUCCGUGAUCCUCUCUGACUCUCUGUUUCUCUCUGUCCCGCGGUUCUCCGCUCGUCCUUCUCGCUCUGUUGCACUCCCUGCCCCUCUGUGAACUCUCUGCUACCGAGCUCUGUGAGGAGAUCAAUAGGGAUCCUACACCCCGUGCCUCCUCCGACAUGCUGGAGGAGGACAAAGGUACUCUGAUGUUCCACUCGCGUUGCCAGCGCUUCCUGUAUACGUGUACGCUACGCGCGUCCGCACACGCGCCUGUCUGCGGGAAUCCGUGCCGUCGUCUACGUGUUGUCGCGAAUUUCACGGAGAGAAACGGACCAGGGAGCUCUGCGAGCCUAGACGUGCGCUGGCGGGGACCAAUGUAGUGAUCUGUAACGCGUAGACGCCUGGUAGCGUUAUGUCCAUCGAGUUGAGACGAAUUUUGAGACGAAGUCGAGUCGUCCAGCUGGCUGCGUUCGUGGCGACUUGAUUCGACUUUCGAUUCGUUUGUGCGGCUGCGGUGGCCCGUGGUUUUGUGGAGCAGUCUGUGCAACAACCGGUGCAAGCAACCGCGAGUGCAGCUUUCUUCUUCGCUGCCAGUCCAGUGGCACGCGUGUGUACACGUGGGUUUGGCGGUUUUAACAGCCACGCGUUACACGCUCUCACAAAAUUUCACCGUUCUCGCGACCACUGUGGCACACGACCCGUGCGCCUCUUAACGCAUUGACGUCGAAUGACGCACAGAUGCGUCAUUCGGGCGUUUCAUCGCGGAGUCCAGAUGACGACAAAAAUACGCCAUCAUUGGUCUCGCCGGAGAUUUAUAAAGGAUGUGCAUAGUUCACUUUCCUUUUAUAAAUGUCACGAGUAGACUGUAAAUGUUUAUGACAAGUGUAAAUAUACAAAGGUUCGCAAUAUUUAAUAAACAUUUAAUAACCAUCAACAAGCUAAUCAUGAUGUCCCUUCGAAUUAAAAUAAUGUGAAAGUACGUCAUUGCGGUCCAUUUCCUGCAUACUAUUUCCUGUAAAAUAGGAUUACGAUUUCGCUAUGAGAAAAUUUAGGGGUUUCUUCAAGUAACCAUCUCAUAAUUGUUAUAUUUAUGCUGUACUAUUUACGAAAGUAUUUCUUUA